rnacentral:rRNA from 1 species
UACGACGGGGGCUAGCGUUGUUCGGAUUUACUGGGCGUAAAGCGCGUGUAGGCGGGCUUGUAAGUUGGGGGUGAAAGCCCGGAGCUCAACUCCGGAAUUGCCUUCAAGACUGCAAGCCUUGACCCAUGGAGAGGCAAGUGGAAUUGCGAGUGUAGAGGUGAAAUUCGUAGAUAUUCGCAGGAACACCAGUGGCGAAGGCGACUUGCUGGACAUGUGGUGACGCUGAGACGCGAAAGCGUGGGGAGCUAACAGG